UCCCUGGUGGCUCAGAUGGUAAAGAACCUGCUUGCACUGCAGGAGACCCAGGUUCAAUCCCUGGGUCGGGAA
rfam:TPA: Bos taurus chromosome 16, whole genome shotgun sequence.